GCCCGAGUGCUCAGCCCCACAGCCAGGGUCAGAGCGGUUCCUGCUGCUGCCCCGGGGGUCCCCAGCUGGAGCCCGGACAGCUGGAGACUUCCAGCAGCACCUUUGAUAUUCCUCUCACUUUGUCUGGAGCAGUAUUCUACGGGAAAGACUAAAUUACGAAGAAAAGACACAUUAUUUUGUCAUUGUUCAAGCAAAUGACUGAGGACAGAAUCUUAAUGAGCGAAGGACAAGUACAACCAGCCUGACAGUAGAUGUGCUCGAUGGGGACGAUGUGGGACCAAUGUUUCUUCCCUGUGUCUUGGUGAAUAAUACUUGUGACUGUAGACCUCUCACCUACCAAGCGAGCUUGCCAGAACUGACUGAUCCUGCCACCCAAGACGGUCUUGAAUCGCUCCACUCCAUCCAUUUCUGCUCUUCCAGUAAAAGGCUCCAGCACCUGCUCACAGCUGCAAUGAGAGAGGAUCAGCAGCUACCCCACAAGCCAGGACAGGAGUGUGCAAGUGCAGACCCGUUGUAAAACAAAGAGUGGGACUCAGAAGAAAGACUCCACUGAGAGGCCACUAACAGUCAAAAGCUCAAGAGCAGCAAAAGGCAGGACUUCUACCACCGUGUACACGGGUUGAGGCAGGACACAGGGCGUACACAGACCCUUCACAGCAUCUAUCAUCAUGCAAGGGAGUUUUGAUACCAACAGCUCUUGCCAGGAGCAGCAUCCUCUCUUUUGUACCCAGCGGUGUUUUGCACCAAACUAAGGAGCAAAGAAAGUUGCAAUCAAUGUCUGAGACCAGGCCAGCUCUGAAGAAGAGGGUGAUGGGAAUGCCUCGUGACUGAGGGCGCUCUGAGGAAUAACCAUGAGAAAACACUUGCUCCAGAACCUUGUCCAAACAUCUAUGUGACCCUUCUUUCUGAUGGGACAGAGGAGUGACAAGAAAGGGAAAGAUGCAUCUGAAACCACACGCUGCCAGCAAGAGAAAGGCUUUCGGUGAAACUUAAGGCCCCAAGAGCCACCAAAGGAACGUGAGGACUUGGGAGGCCACAGAGACUCCGUUUACCCAAGGAGAGCGGGGAAUGGCACAGACAGGGACAAGGAAGUGCCCCAGCUCAUUCAGAGGGAAGGGAAGAAAGGUGUCCACUGCACAGGAGUGUAAAAUAAUAAAAAUAAAAAAACCCCACAGAUGCAGAGAAAGACAAAGAGGAAAAAAUACGGAAGCGCAUCAAGCCCUCAGAGAUAAGUUAAGAGGCACGAUCAGAGAGAAGCAAAAUAAGCCGUGCAACAGGGCAGAGCAGCUGAAGUCUCACAGGCAUGGACAAACAGAAGGAAAGUACUUUGUAAGUCCCAGAAAAAGUGUAUGA